rnacentral:tRNA from 1 species
UCUAAAAUGGCAGAUAAAUGCCUGAGAUUUAAGCUCUUAUCAUGGAGAUUCUUUUCCUUUUAGAA